rfam:Pararhizobium polonicum strain F5.1 contig_7, whole genome shotgun sequence.
AGAAUUCGCAGUGGCGCACUCCUCCUCCCAGCGCCACUCCGAUCCGACGGGCAACACUCCUCCUCCCAGUUGCCUGUCACCAUAAAUGACGCCCGCUGGACCUCCUCCCCCAGCGGGCGUUAUUU